rnacentral:rRNA from 1 species
CAUGCAGUCGAACGGGAAGCGGUGUAUUUAUACUUCGGUAAAUUUACGCCGUGGAGAGUGGCGAACGGGUGCGUAACACGUAGGUAACCUGCCCCGAAAGGGGGGAUAACCACGGGAAACUGUGGCUAAUACCGCAUGACCUGGCCGAGACGGGAGUUUCGGUGAGGAAAGCUGAGGCGAUUUGGGAGGGGCCUGCGGUCGAUUAGCUGGUUGGUGGGGUAAAGGCCUACCAAGGCGAUGAUCGAUAGCUGUUCUGAGAGGAAGACCAGCCACACGGGAACUGAGACACGGUUCCGACUCCUACGGGGGGCAGCAGUGAGGAAUAUUGCGCAAUGGGGGAAACCCUGACGCAGCAACGCCGCGUGGAGGAUGAAGGUUUUCGGAUUGUAAGCUCCUUAACUGGGGGAAGAGAGAGGACGGUACCCCAGGACGAAGACACGGCUAACUAGGUGCCAGCAGCCGCGGUAAUACCUAGGUGUCGAGCGUUAUCCGGAAUUACUGGGCGUAAAGGGUGCGCAGGCGGCGAUACAAGUCUGGCGUGAAAGCUCCUGGCUUAACUGGGAGAGGACGUUAGAAACUGUAUGGCUAGAGUGAAUGAGAGGGAGGCGGAAAUUCCGGUGUAGUGGUGGAAUGCGUAGAUAUCGGGAAGAACACCAGAGGCGAAGGCGGCCUCCUGGCAUUUUACUGACGCUGAGGCACGAAAGCGUGGGUAGCGAACGGGAUUAGAUACCCCGGUAGUCCACGCUGUAAACGAUGUGAACGAGGUGUGGGCGGUGUAGAAGCCGUCCGUGCCGGAGCAAACGCGAUAAGUUCACCGCCUGGGGAGUACGGUCGCAAGGCUAAAACUCAAAGGAAUUGACGGGGGCCCGCACAAGCAGCGGAGCGUGUGGUU